GCGAGCGGCGGAUGGGUGAGUAACACGUGGGGAACCUGCCCCUAAGUCUGGGAUACCAUUUGGAAACAGGUGCUAAUACCGGAUAAUAAAGCAGAUCGCAUGAUCAGCUUUUGAAAGGCGGCGUAAGCUGUCGCUAAGGGAUGGCCCCGCGGUGCAUUAGCUAGUUGGUAAGGUAACGGCUUACCAAGGCGACGAUGCAUAGCCGAGUUGAGAGACUAAUCGGCCACAUUGGGACUGAGACACGGCCCAAACUCCUACGGGAGGCAGCAGUAGGGAAUCUUCCACAAUGGACGCAAGUCUGAUGGAGCAACGCCGCGUGAGUGAAGAAGGUUUUCGGAUCGUAAAGCUCUGUUGUUGGUGAAGAAGGAUAGAGGUAGUAACUGGCCUUUAUUUGACGGUAAUCAACCAGGAAAGUCACGGCUAACUACGUGCCAGCAGCCGCGGUAAUACGUAGGUGGCAAGCGUUGUCCGGGAUUUAUUGGGCCGUUAAAGCGAGCGCAGGCGGAAAAAUAAGUCUAAUGUUGAAAAGCCCUCGGGCUUAACCGAGGAA
rnacentral:rRNA from 1 species